CGUUACCUCACUGGAGAGAGGUGCCGGGCCAUCGUGUCACGGCAUCCACCGAAGGAGCAACCCGCAGAACGUUCGGCUUUUGGGCUGAAGGUUACCGGCGAAUCUCUCAGGUAAAGCGGACAGCGAGGGCAAG
rnacentral:ncRNA from 2 species